rnacentral:rRNA from 1 species
UACAGAGGGUGCAAGCGUUGUUCGGAUUUACUGGGCGUAAAGCGCGUGUAGGCGGUGGCGUAAGUCGGAUGUGAAAUCCCUCGGCUCAACCGAGGACGUGCAUCCGAUACUGCGUCACUUGAGUGUCGGAGGGGAUGGCGGAAUUCCCGGUGUAGAGGUGAAAUUCGUAGAUAUCGGGAGGAACACCUGUGGCGAAGGCGGCCAUCUGGACGAUAACUGACGCUGAGACGCGAAAGCGUGGGUAGCAAACAGG